ensembl:lncRNA
AAGGACACAAAGCUGACUCACUUGGAAGUAAAGGUUGCCAGCAGGAAUGAGGAGUCAGUAGGAGAGGCGUCUUACAACCGCCCCCAGGCCCACAUACACACCGGUGUUGAGUCAGGGCCCAGUGACCAGGCUCAGAGGGAAACAGGGAAGCAGCAGCUAAAGGAAGCCUGGGCCUGGGAAAAUGCUGCUGAGGCCAGGCCUGGGAACAAAGGCGGGCAGCUCACUCUGCUGGCUCUCAUAACCAAGUUCAGACAACCUUCUGUCUGCCAGCCACAAAGACAACGCCCACAGCCCCCACCCCAGACGGAGAUCGGAGUCAUUUCCAUGAUCGCUGUGUGUGUUC